rnacentral:rRNA from 1 species
GUACAGCAAAGCUUCGGCCGCGCUGAUAAUGUCCCUAAUCAGACUUCCAAGAAAAACCUCUAAGGUUCGGUUAUAGCAGCCCGUACCGUAAACCGACACAGGUAGUCGAGGAGAAUAUCCUCAGGCGCUCGAGUGAUCCGUGGUAAAGGAACUAGGCAAAUUGACGCUGUAACUUCGGGAUAAGGCGUACUGCAGUGAUGCAGUCUCAGUAAAAUGGUCCAACCAACUGUUUAACAAAAACACAGGGCCCUGCAAAAUCGAAAGAUGACGUAUAGAGCCUGAUACCUGCCCGGUGCUGGAAGGUUAAGGAAGGAUGUUCGGGGUAACCCAAAGCUUCUGACUGAAGCCCCAGUAAACGGCGGCCGUAACUAUAACGGUCCUAAGGUAGCGAAAUUCCUUGUCGGGUAAGUUCCGACCUGCACGAAUGGUCUAAUGAGUUGGACACUGUCUCUACCACGAGCUCGGUGAAAUUGUAGUAUCGGUGAAGAUGCCGGUUAAUCGCAACGGGACGGAAAGACCCCGUGAACCUUCACUACAACUUAACAUUGAUUUUGAACAACAGAUGUGUAGGAUAGUUGGGAGACUAUGAAGCAGCUUCGCCAGGAGUUGUGGAGUCAACGUUGAAAUACCAACCUUCUGUUGUUUAGAGUCUAACCUGGAAGCAGGGACAUUGUUUGGUGGGUAGUUUGACUGGGGUGGUCGCCUCCUAAAAAGUAACGGAGGCUCGCAAAGGUACCCUCAGUACGGUUGGUAAUCGUACGCAGAGCGCAUUAGUAAAAGGGUGCUUGACUGUGAGGCCGACAAGCCGAGCAGGAGCGAAAGCUGGCUAAAGUGAUCCGGUGGUUCUGUAUGGAAGGGCCAUCGCUCAAAGGAUAAAAGGUACUCCGGGGAUAACAGGCUGAUCUCCCCCAAGAGCUCAUAUCGACGGGGAGGUUUGGCACCUCGAUGUCGGUUCGUCACAUCCUGGGGCUGGAGAAGGUCCCAAGGGUUCGGCUGUUCGCCGAUUAAAGUGGCACGUGAACUGGGUUCAGAACGUCGCAAGACAGUUCGGUCCCUAUCUGUUGUGAUCGUUAGUAAAUUGCGAGGACAUGACCUUAGUACGAGAGGACCGGGUCGUACGUACCGCUGGUGUAUCAGUUGUGCCGCCAGGUGCAGUGCUGAGUAGCUAUGUACGGAAAGGAUAAACGCUGAAAGCAUCUAAGCGUGAAACCAACCUCAAGAUGAGUUUACUUUUAAGGGCCGUCGCAGACUACGACGUUGAUAGGCUACAGGUGUAAGGGUGGUAACAUCGAAGCCGAGUAGUACUAAUUGCCCGUAAGCUUUAAUUUU